UUCUAAGGGCGUUGAAGCAUGAUCGCAAGGACAUGUGGAGCGCUUAGAAGUGAGAAUGCCGGUGUGAGUAGCGAAAGACGGGUGAGAAUCCCGUCCACCGAUUGACUAAGGUUUCCAGAGGAAGGCUCGUCCGCUCUGGGUUAGUCGGGUCCUAAGCUGAGGCCGACAGGCGUAGGCGAUGGAUAACAGGUUGAUAUUCCUGUACCACCAUUAUUCGUUUUAAGCGAUGGGGGGACGCAGUAGGAUAGGCGAAGCGUGCUGUUGGAGUGCACGUCCAAGCAGUGAGAUUGAGUGUUAGGCAAAUCCGGCACUCUUAAGAUUGAGCUGUGAUGGGGAGAGGAACUUGUUCCUCGAGUCGUUGAUUUCACACUGCCGAGAAAAGCCUCUAGCUAGAAUAACGGUGCCCGUACCGCAAACCGACACAGGUAGUCAAGAUGAGAAUUCUAAGGUGAGCGAGCGAACUCUCGUUAAGGAACUCGGCAAAAUGACCCCGUAACUUCGGGAGAAGGGGUGCUCUUUGAGGUU
rnacentral:rRNA from 1 species